UACGAAGGGGGCUAGCGUUGCUCGGAUUUACUGGGCGUAAAGGGCGCGUAGGCGGUUUGUACAGUCAGACGUGAAAUUCCUGGGCUCAACCUGGGGGUUGCGUUUGAUACGUGCGAGCUUGAGUUCGGAAGAGGGUCGUGGAAUUCCCAGUGUAGAGGUGAAAUUCGUAGAUAUUGGGAAGAACACCGGUGGCGAAGGCGGCGACCUGGUCCGAUACUGACGCUGAGGCGCGAAAGCGUGGGGAGCAAACAGG
rnacentral:rRNA from 1 species